rnacentral:lncRNA from 1 species
GGGGGUGUGCUCGGAAAAUGCAGGAGCUUCAGAGCAGAGACCAGAGCCCAGAAAGGAGCAGAUGCUAGAUUUGCAAGAUCAGAAGCAGGUCUUGAUCCUCCUGCCCAGAAUGAACCAGACUUGAUGAUGAUGCCACCUUCAGGAGCCACCACACUGUGUGACAGUGGGGCAUUUGGGCCGUCCCUGGGAAGUACAGAUGCGCUGCUGUCACACAUGUCCACCACCACAUGUGACAUUAGUGACGUUAUCCUGAUGUCACAGGAUCCAAGAAUGAUGAUCUGUGAAGAGUUUUCCAAGGUCACCUACUUCUAACUCUUUUGAAAGAUUUAAAGACAUUGGGCCUGAAAAUUUCAGUGACUUGUCCAGGGAAACGCAGUUUGUGACAGUUCACUCUCUCACAG